rnacentral:lncRNA from 1 species
AGUUUACAUGAGGAGUUUGUUAGUGUUAGAUCUCUCCAUUAUGUUUACUUAAACUAACAGCUUGUUACAUAUAAGAAAAAGACUUGCAAUGGAAACAACCAAAUUAAUGUUAAUAUUAUUUACAUACAAAGAAGAGAAAAAAAUUGAUGUCUACAUGAGUUAUUCUUAAUCAACAAUUACAGUUACAUAGUUCAGAUUACUGGUUUUAGCUGGUGGGUGCUACAAUUUUGCUGGUGCUGGACUCUCAACUCUGAAGCCGCCGCUAUGCCAAUCGCUACCAUCGACAUCAAAAAUGGAGAAAAUACGCUGAAGUUCCCAUACACCGCCAAUACCAAAGAGUAUGGGGUGAAUGCUGAGGCGGAUCCAGGGAGCGAAUGCCGUUGUUACUGGAUCUCUGGAACAUCUUAAAUAGUGCGGUUGUGAAUAGAAUAAAAUGAAGUGAAAAUUGAACUCUGAAAGUAUUAGGAGUAACAA